rnacentral:rRNA from 1 species
GACGGAGGGGGCAAGCGUUGUCCGGAAUCACUGGGCGUAAAGGGCGCGUAGGCGGCCACCGCAAGUCGGUUGUGAAAUCUCUGGGCUUAACCCAGAAAGGUCAACCGAUACUGCGGGGCUAGAGUGCAGAAGGGGCAACUGGAAUUCUCGGUGUAGCGGUGAAAUGCGUGGAUAUCGGAAGGAACAUCAGUGGCGAAAGCGGCUUCCUGGACCAGUACCGACGUUCAGGCACGAAAGCGUGGGGAGCAAACAGG